AGGCAGGCUAUACUGGGAGGUUAGCCCUCUUUUGUUACCACAAACGGGCUUUACGGUGGAGUGAAGCUGGUGAGCGGUUCAGACUGUAGCCGAAGGUCUUGGCUCGUACGUUGACCUUCUGUCCUUCAGGGUUGUUGCUUUUGAAAACCACGUCAGGCUGGGAACAGAGCAGCGUUAAUCAUAUGCGAUGGCGCUUGAAGGGUCGCGGAAGCGAGGAAAAGUCAAGGUUAAUCUUUUGGCAAAAGUUUGAUUCAAUUGCUAGUGCGCCUGCCU
rnacentral:SRP_RNA from 1 species